rnacentral:rRNA from 1 species
AUGUCUCCAGCGGCGAUGCCGAGCUCCGGCCACCAGGGCAGCGGCGCACCGCAUUUGGUGUUCGUCCCGAGCGCCGGCAUGGGCCACCUCCUCCCUUUCACCCGCUUCAUCACCGCCAUCGCAGACAUGGGCGUGGACAUCUCCGUCGUGACCGCCCUCCCGACGGUCUCGGAGGCCGAGGCCGAGCACUUCGCCGGCCUCUUCGCUGCCUUCCCCGCCAUCCGGCGCAUCGACUUCAACCUCCUGCCGUUCGACGCCUCCGCGUUUGCGGACACCGAGCCCUUCUUCCUACGGUGGGAGUCCCUGCGCCGCUCGGCCCAUCUCCUCGGCCCGCUCAUCGCCGGCGCCGCGCCGCGCGCGUCGGCCAUCAUCACGGACGUCACCUUGGCUUCCGAGGUCAUCCCCGUAGCUAAGAACGAGCUGAAGCUUCCAUGCCACGUCCUCUUCACGUCCGGCGCAACCGUGCUGGCAUUCCUCGCCUACUUCCCCGUCUACCUUGACGGCGCCAACGCAGACCACCUCGUCGGCGAUGUCGACGUUCCGGGCGUUCGACGCCUCCCGUCAGACUACUGCCCGCGUGUGCUGCGCAACCCCGACGGCCUCUUCACCAAGCAGUUCAUCGUCAACGGCCGCGAGAUCGCCAAAGCAGACGGCAUCCUCGUCAACACGUUCGAUGCCUUGGAGCCAGAGGCACUCACUGCCCUGCGGGGCGGCAAGGUCGUUCCCGGAUUUCCUCCGGUGUUCGCCGUCGGCCCGCUCAAGUCGACGCCCUCAGCGAGAAGAAGCGAUAAGGCGGACUCGCCUAUCGCCUGGCUCGGGGAGCAGCCAGCACGGUCGGUGGUCUACGUCGCCUUCGGCAACUGUAACGCCGCGGCGCUGAAACAGAUCCGCGAGAUCGGCGCCGGGCUGGAGGCCAGCGGCUGCCGGUUCCUGUGGGUGGUGAAGACCACGAUACUGGACCGCGAGGACACGGCGGAGCUGAGGGACGUGGUGGGCGAUGGGUUCCUGGGGCGCGUGCAGGGACGGGGCCUGGUAACCAAGGAGUGGGUGGACCAGGAGGCGGUCCUGAAGCACCCGGCCGUGGGGCUGUUCCUGAGCCACGCCGGGUGGGGGUCGGUGACGGAGGCGGCCGCGUACGGCGUGCCGAUGCUGGCGUGGCCGACGUUGGGCGACCACAAGAUAAUCGCGACGGUGAUACGAAGCGGCGGCUUUGGGGUGUGGAUGGAGCACUGGAGCUGGCAGGAGGAGGACUCGGAGGAGAGUUCGGUGGUGAGCGGGGUGGAGAUUGGGGAAAAGCUGAAGGAGGUGAUGGGCGACGAGGCGAUUUCGGCAAGCGCGGCCAAGAUGCGCGAGGAGGCGACCAAGGCCGUCGCCCCAGGCGGCUCCAGCUACCGGAGCAUGCACGAGUUCCUCGCCAUGCUCGGCUGA